UAUGCCUAAGCCUAAGCCUACGCCUAAGCCUAAGUCUAAGCUGAAGCCUAA
ensembl:ncRNA Y60A3A.33 ncRNA